CUUCUGCUUGCCUUUCUCUUCUGGAUCAUUUGCAGUCAGAAGUCCUUUCAUUUCUGCAUCUUCCAAUAUUGAAGAUUUCCCUUCUCUACUCUGAUUCUCUUCCAUUGUGAUAUUUCAGUUUCCUUUCACGUGAAAGCAACUUUUGUCCUUCUUCCUGCUUUGCUGUUUGUGCUGAAUGCCCAGAGAUCUCUUUACACUUUCCUUUUGAUGUUGUCCGGAAGAGAUGAAAGAAAGUGGAAGAAUAAGAAGACCUAGUUGGAAAUUUAAGGCAAAACCAAAUCAUUGGAUCAAUGUGUCAAUCUAAGAAAGGUCACCUCUAAUUAUAUCGGCACCAAAAUUCACUCCUCUAUCUUUCUUCCCCAAGAUUCCCCUUUUGACUGGAUUCCUUCACCAACCAAGCACAUCCAACUUUUCUUGUUUUUUCUGUCGUGAGUUCUUCUCUGGUUACAUAAAACUACCUCAAGAUCACAUAUUUAUGAAUUGCAGCAAAGCUCAGGGACCUCAAAGACNUCAGCNUGGNAGUUUCCUUUANUAGGAGUAUUNGUAUUNAAUNUCAACAUUUUACAAAAUAUAUAACCAUAUUAAUUAUUUCAAUAAGUGCAACAUAUAUGAAAAAAUGAUAUAACAUAAAAAUUUGAAACUCAAUCUAAAAAGUAAGGCAUAACCUUACAGGUUGUUUCAGGAGCUAAAUUUCAUAAUUAGCACUUUUACCAUAUUUAACUAUCAUUGUUUGGAGCGCCAAAGUCUCAAAUUUGUUGAUAAGGUCAUAUAUCUAUAUCUAAGGUUUGUACUGCAAUUAUUAGUGGAUUCCAUGUAGUGCCCAGGGGACACCCUAUGAAGCUGAUGGGCAGGAGAAUUAGGAAGGACCGGCAAAGGGAAGCACGUUUGUCACCCAGAGGGUCUCCGCUCUAUGGAAUUUCCUACCAGAAGGGGUGGUGACAGCAAUCAGCCUGGAGAGUUUUAGGAACAGAUUANACAGCUUCANGGAAGUCACAAGUAUCUACGGCUACUAGAACGGACUCCGUGGUGGAGAGACAGGCAAGACGCCUCCAAAGGCCACCGGCAGGGAAUCCACCGCAGGAGAAGGUUUUGCCUUUGUAUUCUGCUGGAGAAUGCCCGGAAGCAANUGGUGGGCGGCUGUGCGAAAGUAACCCACGUGCU
rnacentral:lncRNA from 1 species